rnacentral:lncRNA from 1 species
CCUCAUUGCACAACAGUAUGACUGCUACAGAGACAGCAAACAGAGGAAGGGGAGAAUGGGUUACAAUCAGGUACUUGGCUAGGAUCAAGACUGGAUACUUUCGGCUUGGAUGAAAAACAGAAGAAGCUGUGACUACUCAGAGCCAGGGGGACAGCCAGACCAAAAAUUGUUGGGGAAAAAAGGAAGCUCAAAGGCCAAAAGAUAGAAGCCAAGUGUCAAAUCCAAGAACAAAAGGCAAGAAUCAAUGCAAGGAUCAAAAAGCCCCGUGACCUUGAUGUCAAAAUUCGAGCUGAUCAGAGCCAACCCAGCAGGAAAUGGGUUUCUAGAAGAACUGUCUCAGAUAUGUCUGGGCCUUCAUGAUCCCCUGUAAGGACCAGCAGGUAUAUGAUACCUGGGAAGAUGACAAUGGCUUCCAAGACUGAGGUUGGGCAGACCACCAAAGAUCCCAAAAUAAAAGCAAAGGUUUAAAUUUAAAUAACUAGCAUGGCAAGAAGCAAAGUACUCAUUGCAUUAUGAAAAUCUGAAAGUAGAAUUUCUCUUGGUGCAGCAAAGGAUCUCUAGUAAGAAAUAACAUGAGAAAACAUAGGUGUUAUGAUCGUUAUAAAGGUUGAUGAUUCUUAAGUACAUUCGAGGAUGCUAAAGUUCUAACAAUGUUCAGGUGCAGGGAUCAAGUGUCUUUUACAUAAUCCUUCCACCAGAAGACAUCAAGUUUAACUGAAAUUCAAAUCUGAACAAUAGGACAACCAUCUGGAAAAUAACGCUGCAAAACUACUACACAGCAAGUAAGUCAAUCUGCAAAGCUGCAAUGAAGUAAAACCGACUGAAGAGUAUGUUAUGUACUGUAGGCUAUACCAAUCUGUGCAUGUGAAUAACUGUCAAUAUCCCAACCUAAAAUAAUUUUAAUGAUGGGAAUAAACAUUAAAUAUUUACCAGCUGGUGCACCACUAGAUCAAUGGGCUCAUCUCCCUCCCCUGAGUACACACAAUAAUAAAUGAAUAGACUUGGGCUUCCAACAGCAAGAAAAAGAUUGCCUCAAAAUUGGAAAUCAAUGAUACCACUAUGGUUACAUCAAUAGGUGAAGCGAUAAAUGGAGGCUGCUGUCAUUUAAAAAAAUAUAUUGUAAUAACAGAGAAAAAAAAGCUAAAGGGAAGUUUUUCUUAUGUUUGCUUUAUUUACUUUCUAAUUUUCAAAAUGAAUUUUGACAGAAGUCCUUGGCCAUUUGUACUUUUUAAAAGAACAUGUUGUUCCAAACUAACAAUGUCUCCUAAUAUGAAAUCCAGUUUC